CAACCAAUUAGCUUCAGAAGUCACAUAAUUAGUUAAAUAAAGUCCACCUGUGUGCAAUCUAAGUGUCACAUGAUCUCUGUAUAAAUACACCUGUUCUAAAAGGCCCCAGAGUCUGCAACACCACCAAGCAAGCUGCCGCUCCUGUUUGGAGGAGAGCUCCAAACAGGCUGUUGCCGUGGGAGUCCUCCGUGGUGACAUAUCAGUUCAUGGGGUCAGACAAGUGCACAUAGCCUUCCAUUGAGAGCAAGUGGAGCUGACCAAUGGAGAACCUACCCUGAUCGCAGCUAACUAACUCUCCCUGUAGACUUAGUCUCUACAGAUAAAAUCUACGGGUGGAUUUUCCAGACACAUAAGCCUAGUCUUGGACUAUAAAGAUACGUUGACCAUGUUUUUUUAUUCCAGUUGGUUUAAUCUGUCAGGGAAACCAGGUCUGAAUGGAUAAAAAAAAACUAUAUGGGGAAAUAAAAUGACCAAUGACUAAUCCCAACUGUACUACUCUUACAGCUUAAUGUUUUCCAGUCUAAGGUCAGCCUGCCUUUGUUACACUUAUUACCAAGCUGAUUUGAGAAGGCCAUGGCCAACCAAACAUGCCCCUCGACUGGUUUAAAGUCACCCUAGGCACCCUAGGUCCUGUUCAGCUCGCUUUAAGAAACCCAAGUUGUGCUGGAACUACGAUGGAGAGGACAAUGUAAAACAAAAAACCUGAGCUAGCACAGUAAGGUUCAGUUUGGCAAGAUAGUGUGAAAUGGUUGUGUGUGACACUGAGCACCAGAAGUGGUCCUGAUUGCAUGUGAUGGAAUGCCAGUAAUAGUCAUUGGCCAGAAAUUAAGUCUUGCAGGACAGGGUGGUUGCACCAUGUGUUUCUGACAGGUCAAUAAUGUGUCAGCCAUUUGUUUGACUUAUUAUACUAAACUGUGUUGAUAUGUGGUAAAAACAUCCACUGUUGUCAAAGUAAAGCCACCGUGUAACUGGUUGGUUGUUCACUCAUUGAUAUCACAUCUGUGUAGGGCUAGACUCGCUUUGGCAGAAACACGCCUGUUGAGAGACUAGUUUAGGCUUGCACUACACGUCCAGUCCAAAACGUACCCCCAAAUGUACCUACCUUUAUCAUCUACCAUUUUGUCUUGGAACAUGAGGGCACAUACAGUAAGAACAAAUAUACAACUCUGAUGGUUUUGUUUUGUGCGUGAUAGCAUAAGUUUUACUUACAUUUCAUGGGGAGCAGAGAGGUGGUUUGACAACAAGGGGAGAGAGGGGGGAUAUCGUGCUAGGACCGUACGCAACACAGACUUAUACUGCCCCGACGCCUCUGACAGUGGGGACAGACAAAAUCACAGGACAUCACACACGCUAUACUUAGUCACAAAACCUUUGCAGCUCUACAUGGUAAUGUAGAUAAACACUGUUCACUUGCGGUGGUUGUUGUUAUAAAGCACUCUAGGAAAAUCAACAGUGGUUCGCUAGCUGCAUCCUAUCCUUCUAUGGGGUCCCAUACUUCACAAGUAAACAC